UCCCUGGUGGUCCAGUGAUUAGGACUCAGUGCUUUCACUGUUAAGGGGGCCCAGGUUCAAUCCCCGGUUGGGGAA
rnacentral:tRNA from 1 species